rnacentral:rRNA from 1 species
AGUGAACGCUGGCGGUAGGCCUAACACAUGCAAGUCGAACGGCAGCACAGUAAGAGCUUGCUCUUACGGGUGGCGAGUGGCGGACGGGUGAGGAAUACAUCGGAAUCUACUUUUUCGUGGGGGAUAACGUAGGGAAACUUACGCUAAUACCGCAUACGACCUACGGGUGAAAGCAGGGGAUCUUCGUACCUUGCGCGAUUGAAUGAGCCGAUGUCGGAUUAGCUAGUUGGCGGGGUAAAGGCCCACCAAGGCGACGAUCCGUAGCUGGUCUGAGAGGAUGAUCAGCCCCACUGGAACUGAGACACGGUCCAGACUCCUACGGGAGGCAGCAGUGGGGAAUAUUGGACAAUGGGCGCAAGCCUGAUCCAGCCAUACCGCGUGGGUGAAGAAGGCCUUCGGGUUGUAAAGCCCUUUUGUUGGGAAAGAAAAGCAGCAGGUUAAUACCCCGCUGUUCUGACGGUACCCAAAGAAUAAGCACCGGCUAACUUCGUG